GCAUAUCAAUAAGCGGAGGAAAAGAAACCAACAGGGAUUGCCCUAGUAACGGCGAAGUGAAGCGGCAUCAGCUCAAAUUUGAAAUCUGGCUCUUUCAGGGUCCGAGUUGUAAUUUGCAGAGGGCGCUUUGGUGUUGGCAGCGGUCCAAGUUCCUUGGAACAGGACGUCACAGAGGGUGAGAAUCCCGUACGUGGUCGCUGGCCUUCGCCGUGUAAAGCCCCUUCGACGAGUCGAGUUGUUUGGGAAUGCAGCUCUAAAUGGGAGGUAAAUUUCUUCUAAAGCUAAAUACUGGCCAGAGACCGAUAGCGCACAAGUAGAGUGAUCGAAAGAUGAAAAGCACUUUGGAAAGAGAGUCAAAUAGCACGUGAAAUUGUUGAAAGGGAAGCGCUUGCAGCCAGACUUGCCUGUAGUUGCUCAUCUAGGCUCUUUGCCUAGUGCACUCUUCUGCGGGCAGGCCAGCAUCAGUCUAGGCGGUUGGAUAAAGGCCUCUGUCAUGUACCUCCUCUCGGGGAGGCCUUAUAGGGGAGGCGUAAUGCAACCAGCCUGGACUGAGGUCCGCGCAUUUGCUAGGAUGCUGGCGUAAUGGCUGUAAGCGGCCCGUCUUGAAACACGGACCAAGGAGUCUAACAUCUAUGCGAGUGUUUGGGUGUCAAGCCCGAGCGCGUAAUGAAAGUGAACGGAGGUGGGAUCCCUUUAGGGUGCACCAUCGACCGAUCCUGAUGUCUUCGGAUGGAUUUGAGUAAGAGCAUGGCUGUUGGGACCCGAAAGAUGGUGAACUAUGCUUGAAUAGGGUGAAGCCAGAGGAAACUCUGGUGGAGGCUCGCAGCGGUUCUGACGUGCAAAYCSAUCGUCAAAUUUGGGCAUAGGGGCGAAAGACUAAUCGAACUAUCUAGUAGCUGGUUCCUGCGA
rnacentral:rRNA from 1 species